GGCAGCGAGGCGCGAGCGGCGGAGCGGCGGGAUGCGGCGGUGCCGGGGCGCAGGGCUGGCGGGGCUGGCCGCGCUGCUGCUGGUGGCUUUGGGAAGAGCCCAGGUGCUGCAGGAGCCGUCGGCAGAGACCACCGAGGGCACCGGCAUCAACAUCACUUGCUCGCACCCCAAUAUACAGCCAACGGAGUUCAUCUACUGGUACCGUCAGCUCCCGGAACGAGGCCCUGCAUUGCUCCUGAGCACUCUCAAAGACUCGAAAGAGCUGCGGGACCCGCCGGGGCGGCUGUGGGUGUCGGCAGAGCGCCGCUCCAGCGCCCUGUGGCUCGCCCGGCCCCGGCGCGGGGACGCGGCGGUGUAUUACUGUGGCGCCCACCUCAUUCGUUAG